rnacentral:rRNA from 1 species
GGGCCCGCACAAGCGGUGGAUUAUGUGGAUUAAUUCGAUGCAACGCGAAAAACCUUACCUGGCCUUGACAUGUACGGAACAUUCCAGAGAUGGAUUGGUGCCCGUAAGGGAGCCGUAACACAGGUGCUGCAUGGCUGUCGUCAGCUCGUGUCGUGAGAUGUUGGGUUAAGUCCCGCAACGAGCGCAACCCUUGCCAUUAAUUGCCAUCAUUAAGUUGGGCACUUUAAUGGGACUGCCGGUGACAAACCGGAGGAAGGUGGGGAUGACGUCAAGUCCUCAUGGCCCUUAUGGCCAGGGCUUCACACGUAAUACAAUGGUCGGUACAGAGGGUAGCCAACCCGCGAGGGGGAGCCAAUCCCAGAAAGCCGAUCGUAGUCCGGAUUGCAGUCUGCAACUCGACUGCAUGAAGUCGGAAUCGCUAGUAAUCGCGGAUCAGCAUGUCGCGGUGAAUACGUUCCCGGGCCUU